UAAGUUGAUGAUUACCCGUGACCUAAGUUCUUUCCUCCCCUUUCUCUCGGCGACGGUGUUUUCUUCUCGGGCGAAAUCGCAGCCGCCGCCAGGAUUCCUUCCUCCGGUGGCCGGCGAAGGUUCCCUUCCGGCGGAUCUUCACCAAUUGAGACCACCUCGGUAGGAGGGACCGUAGGCACGAGGAAGCGGCCGGGAAACUCAAGCUUCGCCGCAAACCCUAGAUCUCUCUCCUUCGGUUGUAAGUCCAAGAAAAUGAAGGUACAGGAAAAGAAAAGUGUUAGCAAAGGAAGGCGACAAGGAGGUGCGGAUGGAUGUGUGAUGCCAGGACUAUGGAGAGACCUGGGAUGUUUUGAGUUUUCACGUUUAGUGGAUAGAAAUAGUUGAGUUGUACCUUAUGGUUUAUGUCUUUUUAGAUUGUAUUUUCAUUUCCGCGUUGUUAGUUUGGUUAUUUUCCACUGUUCGAGUUUUAUUCAUUUGUGAUUGCUAGAA